GCCAUGACUCAGACCGAGACCAAAGUAGGAGGUGCCAGCUGAUUACGAUAACAAACGUCAAAAUCAUUCAUCAUUUCUCUACUAAAUACCGGCUGAAUAAGACUAACACGUGGAUACAAAGUGCAGCGAUAAUCCAAGAGUCUAUAUACACCAAGAGGAAGACUUAUAGUGCCGUAAAAGGAGAUAAAUAGGAGAAGAAGAAGAGAGGGCUGUCUGGAGGUGCGUGGCUGUCAUCUUGGUUUCAGAUCCUCUUUUGUUGCUUACGUCUUUGGUGGUGAUCGUCCUCCUUGCGUUCAGUGGAUCGUGACGUCAUCGGCCAGUCAUGAGGUUCCGAUUCUGCUGGGACGUGGACUGUCCUGAUUGGCUGCUGGCGGAGAUAGCGACACUGUCCAAAUUGUCGUCGGUCAAGCUACGCCUCCUGUCAGCUGCCGUGGCCAAAAGUAUUCACGGAGAUCCAUUAAGUUAUGACGUUGUGACCAAACUCUCCAGCGAUGCCAAGCUGAGCGAGGACGGGUCCCAGGCGUCUGUGGCCGCUGUGCGCUGGGUGCUGUGUAGCGCCGCCGGAGCCGCCGUCACCCCCGCCGUGCUGGACUCCGAGCUGCAGCAACUGGGCCUGCCAAAGGAACACGCCGCCGCCAUCUCCAGAGUCUACGGCGACCACCUGCCCCGCCUCACACACCACCUCCAGCACACCAGCCUCAAGGUGGGCGGGGAGGUGCAGUGGACGUGUCGUGUGGCGGGCGUGGGUGUGGGCGGAGGUGUGGAGCCAGUGGUGGAGCUGGGGAUGGAGCAGGCGGGGGGCACCACCAAGCUGGCCCUCACACCCACCCAGCUGCAUGCCCUGGUCCAUGAGCUGAGUGAGGCGAGGCGACUCAUGGAGGCUCUGCACUAGUGACUCAGCGGUGAUGCAGCGGCAGCGACAGAAGCGGUGAUGAAGAUGGAAAGGCGACAAGACCCAGCGACAGGACACCAUCGCCUGUUUAUUUAUUUAUUUAUUUAUUAGCAGAAAAGUAGGCAGUCUAAAGGCUAUGAAAGAACCCAAAGAGUUUAAAGGCUACACAAGAAACAGUCCAAAGGCUAUAAGAGAAACCAGUCAGUCCAAAGGCUAAAAUUAAACCAGACAGUCCAAAGGCUAAAAUUAAACCAGACAGUCCAAAGGCUAAAAUUAAACCAGACAGUCAGACCAAAGGCUAAAAUUAAACCAGACAGUCCAAAGGCUAAAAUUAAACCAGACAGUCAGACCAAAGGCUAAAAUUAAACCAGACAGUCCAAAGGCUAAAAUUAAACCAGACAGUCAGACCAAAGGCUAAAAUUAAACCAGACAGUCAGACCAAAGGCUAAAAUUAAACCAGUCAGACCAAAGGCUAAAAUUAAACCAGACAGUCCAAAGGCUAAAAUUAAACCAGACAGUCAGACCAAAGGCUAAAAUUAAACCAGACAGUCAGUCCAAAGGCUAAAAUUAAACCAGACAGUCUGACCAAAGGCUAAAAUUAAACCAGACAGUCAGACCAAAGGCUACAAAGGAAACCAGACAGUCAGACCAAAGGCUACAAAGGAAACCAGACAGUCAGACCAAAGGCUAAAAUUAAACCAGACAGUCAGACCAAAGGCUACAAAAGAAGCUAGACAGUCCAUAGCCUUCAAAGAUAAGCAUGCAUUCCAAACACUACACUAGAAGGUCCAAAUGCUACAAAAGAAAUUAAACAGUCCAAAACCUACAAGGAAUAUAGGAAAGUCCAAAGACUGUAGACAAAACAUACAGUCCAGAGCCAACUAAAAAAAAAGCUUGGUUCAAAGUCUUAAGAAAUAGAUAUUCCAGAGGUUAUAAAAAAUUAGAAAGCCAUAAAAAUGAUAUAGAAAACAAUCCUAAAUAAAAAAAGGAUUGUGUUUUAUCCUUCUUAGUGCCAUAACAUUGUUGCCAUAAUUAGUUUGUUACUUCUGUGGCUACAAAAAAGAAAAAAUGUCCUAACACCCAAAACAGUAUUUUUUCAUCAGUCUGCUCAUGAAUUUCCACUGGCCACACAUUUAUGAAGCUUGUGUUGUAUUUUUAGGAAGUUUGUCAGCCUGUAAACCAUCAGCCAGGCAAAGAAGACCUGGAGGAGGAGGAGGAGGAGGAGGAGGACCUACGUAGUCACUCUUGGUGGUAAUAAAGUAAAAACAAUAGAUUGAAACAGGAGAAAGGUAGUCAUCAAACAUCUAACCUCAUGAUAAAUAUAUAAAAAGGAGAAUAAAGAAGUAGAAACACUAUAUUGAAACAGGAGAAAAGUAGUCAUCAAACAUCUAACCUCAUGAUAAAUAUAUAAAAAGGAGAAUAAAGAAGUAGAAACACCAGAUUAAAACAGGAGAAAGGUAGUCAUCAAACAUCUAACCUCAUGAUAAAUAUAUAAAAAUGAGAAUAAAGAAGUAGAAACACCAGAUUAAAACAGGAGAAAGGUGGUCAUCAAACAUCUAACCUCAUGAUAAAUAUAUAAAAAGGAGAAUAAAGAAGUAGAAACACCAGAUUAAAACAGGAGAAAGGUGGUCAUCAAACACCUAACCUCAUGAUAAAUAUAUAAAAAGGAGAAAAUCAACAACAAAAAAAUGGAUGAGGAUAUUAUAUUCAGUAACAGUCUGAAUGGAAUUAGCGUAUUGAGUUCUGCAGAUAUGACUCGAGAUUAUUUUGUGUUGGUUUAUUGGAGAUACAACAAGCUUAGUGAUUAUUGUGAUGAUUGUGGUGAAACUGUUGUAUUUCUGUGAUCAAAUUUCUUGGGUAAAUAUUUAAAGAUGUGAUUUGUGUGUAAUUUAUAGAAUGCACUGUGGAAACUGAGGUGAUAUUAGUGCUUAUAUAGGGAAAGGGGAAGGGGAGGAUCAGGAAGGGGGAUGGAGAGACAACCCAGUAGCUGCGGGGAUCAUGUUUCUUAAAGGCCCCUCUAAGCGAGAAUAAGGAAAAAAAUCAUCACUCACACAAUCCAUUUCAUAAUAUAUAUCAACGCAUGUGAUCAGUUUAUGCAUCAUCUAUUUUGGGGGGGUUUAUAUCAUGUCAAAAAUUUGGCCUGUCGCUGGUACACGGUAAAGCCACAAAUUUGGCCUCUCGCUCCUACACGGUAAAGCCACAAAUUUGGCCCAUCACUGCUACAAGGUAAAGCCACAAAUUUGGCCCACCGCUGCUACCGGGUUAAGUGUAUGGCAAGAGGUAGCAGGAGGGAGUGUGAAUAGUCUCUUUGGUGAAUGGAAGGGAAGAGAAAUGAAAGACAAUUUUUCAACACGUGACGCCCAUUGUUGUAUAAUUGCCUUCGUCAUUCAGGGUUUGAGUGUUCUACAAUUGGCCUUUUCAUUUCUGCCUAAAUCUUAAGCCAAAUGAGAUAAAGACAGUCCUUUUCUGAUUUCCUGAGAAGUAGAAAAUAAUGACUUAGGCAAUUUGUUUACAAAGGUGACGAAAUAUAUCUACCUUAUAAUUUUUUGUAACUUAUCAUUCCUGAAGCUCUUUGUAACUCCACCAUAAUAUUUCUCUAACUGCCUCAUAAUAUCCACAGUUCUUUUCAGCAUCCUUUUACUUUCUUCCAGCAAUAGUCUUCCCUUACACAGCCUCUCAAAUUCAUCCACAUUCCUCCACAGCAUCCUCUCAUUUCCUGACAUCAACUUUCUUUGCCUUACACAGCCUCUCAAAUUCAUCCACAUUCCUUCACAGCAUCCUCGAUCUCACUUCCUGACAUCAACUUUCUUUGCCUUACACAGCCUCUCAAAUUCAUCCACAUUCCUUCACAGCAUCCUCGAUCUCACUUCCUGACAUCAACUUUCUUUGCCUUACACAGCCUCUCAAAUUCAUCCACAUUCCUCCACAGCAUCCUCUCACUUUCUGAUAUCAACUUUCCUCCCUUACACAGCCUCUCAAAUUCCUCCACAUUCCUCCACAGCAUUCUCUCACUUCCUGACAUCAACUUUCUUUGCCUUACACAGCCUCUCAGAUUCCUCCACAUUCCUCUGCAUCAUCUUCACACUUUCUACUGGCAACACUGUAUUAUCUGCAAAUAGGCCUGCCACUGGGUUGUUAUAUGAAAGCAAUUAUUAUAACUGGCAUACUGUGAUUAAUCUAUGAGUAAUGAUUAUGGACCUACAAAAUAAAGUAUGAUGCCAUGUUUCUCACUCAGCACUAUUUCUUCAACUUCUGUCUUACAAUAUAUCAUUAGCUAAUCCUUCUGCCUCAAAGUGAUUAUUAUGCCCAAACUAUGAGUAAUAAUAAUGAUUGUAUAAAAAUAAAGUAUAAUUCUCAGUUUU